rnacentral:rRNA from 1 species
UGUUUCGGCUAGGGGGCCAUCCCGGCUUACCAACCCGAUGCAAACUGCGAAUACCGGAGAAUGUUAUCACGGGAGACACACGGCGGGUGCUAACGUCCGUCGUGAAGAGGGAAACAACCCAGACCGCCAGCUAAGGUCCCAAAGUCAUGGUUAAGUGGGAAACGAUGUGGGAAGGCCCAGACAGCCAGGAUGUUGGCUUAGAAGCAGCCAUCAUUUAAAGAAAGCGUAAUAGCUCACUGGUCGAGUCGGCCUGCGCGGAAGAU